GAUGAACGCUGGCGGCGUGCCUAAUACAUGCAAGUCGAGCGAACAGAUGAGGAGCUUGCUCCUCUGACGUUAGCGGCGGACGGGUGAGUAACACGUGGAUAACCUACCUAUAAGACUGGGAUAGCUUCGGGAAACCGGAGCUAAUACCGGAUAAUAUAUUGAACCGCAUGGUUCAAUAGUGAAAGACGGUUUUGCUGUCACUUAUAGAUGGAUCCGCGCCGCAUUAGCUAGUUGGUAAGGUAACGGCUUACCAAGGCAACGAUGCGUAGCCGACCUGAGAGGGUGAUCGGCCACACUGGAACUGAGACACGGUCCAGACUCCUACGGGAGGCAGCAGUAGGGAAUCUUCCGCAAAGGGCGAAAGCCUGACGGAGCAACGCCGCGUGAGUGAUGAAGGUCUUCGGAUCGUAAAACUCUGUUAUUAGGGAAGAACAAAUGUGUAAGUAACUAUGCACGUCUUGACGGUACCUAAUCAGAAAGCCACGGCUAACUACGUG
rnacentral:rRNA from 1 species